UACGGAGGGUGCAAGCGUUACUCGGAAUCACUGGGCGUAAAGGGCGCGCAGGCGGCCUAGCAAGUCUGGUGCGAAAGCCCAGGGCUCAACCCUGGAAGGGCACUGGAAACUGUUAGGCUUGAGUUCCGGAGAGGAGGGGGGAAUUCCCGGUGGAGCGGUGAAAUGCGUAGAUAUCGGGAGGAAUACAGGUGGCGAAGGCGCCCCUCUGGACGGAAACUGAUGCUGAGGCGCGAAAGCGUGGGGAGCAAACAGG
rnacentral:rRNA from 1 species